rnacentral:lncRNA from 1 species
CUAUAGUUUUAAAAAAUUACUUCUUUAUAGAUAUAUACAUAGGUGAAAUGCACUUUGGUAUAUUCAUAUAUGCACCUAAGAUAGUUUGGCCAAUUUAAUUCUACCAUUCCUCCCAUUUCCUGUUCCUCCUUCUUCCAUUUCAAUACUCUUCCUCUACUUCACUGAUCUCUCUUCUAUUUUCAUCUAUCUUUACCCUUUUUCCUUAUUUUUUUUCUAGCUUCUGUGUUAUGAGAGAAAACAGUUGUUUUAGCUUUUUUGCUACUGCAACUGAAAGACCAGAUCACAACAAUGGUAGAGGAGGAAAAGUUUAUUCAGAGGGCUCCUGGUUUCAGCAGUCUGAGUCCACAGAAGGCUGGCUCCAUUCCUUGGGGCUCAAAGAGAGGCAAAACAUCAUGGCAGAAGAGUGUGGCACAGGAAAGUCAUUCACAUGAUGCAGAAAGAGACUCCAUUCAUCAGAUACAAAAUAUGUACUCCAAAGACAAGCCUCCCCCAAUGACCCACCUCCUCCAGCCACAGCCUAUCCACCUUCAGCCACUACUCUUUAAUCCUAUCAGGGUAUUAAUUCACUGAUUGAGUCAAGACUUUCAUAAUCCAACCAUUUCUCCACUAAACCUUCUUGCAUUGUGUCACACAUGAGUUUUUGGGGGACACCGUGACAACAUUUGACCCUUGACUUUCGGAGUGUGCUUAUUUCACUUAGCAUGAUGUUUUCCAGUUCCAUUCAUUUACCAGCAAAUGCAUAUCAUCUUCUUUAUAGUUGUUUCAAAUUCCAUUGUGUAUAUAUGCCUCAUUUUCUUUACCCACUCAUCUGUGGAAUGUGCAUCUGGACUGGUUCCAUAACUUGGCUAUUGUGCAUUGUGCUACUAUAAACAUGGAUGUGGCUGUAUCACUAUAGCAUGCUUAUUUUAGUUCUUUUGGAUAAGUAACAAGGAUUGGGAUAGCUUAUUCAUACAAUGGUUCUAUUUCUAAUUUUUUGAGGAAUAUCCUUACUUCUUUCCAGAGUGGUUGCUCUAAUUUGUAGUCAAACCAACAAUGUAUGAAUGUAUCAUUCCCCCACAUCCUUUCCAGCAUCUGUUAUUAUUGUUUAUAAUCUUGAUUAUUGCCAUUCUGAUUUGAAAUGAAAUCUCAAUGUAGUUUUGAUUUGCAUUUGCCUGCUUGCUAGAGAUGUUGAAGAUUUUUCACAUAUUUGUUGGGCACCUGUAUUUCUUCUUCUGAGAAGUAUCUGUUUGGUUCUUUUGUCCAUUUAUUAGUUGUUUUUUUUUUCCUUUUGGUGUUAAGUUGUUGGGUUUACUUUUAAUGGUGUCCAUAGGACCCUGCAUUAUAAACAGGCUGGUACAAUUUAUUAAAGAACAGAUUAAUAUUUUGGCCUCUAAGCCCAUACAGGUCCACUAUCAUCUUCUGGAGAUGGAAGACCGUGCUGCCAACAUUUAAAAGGAUGUUCUACCCUUCUCUCAGGCUUAUUUCUUAAGUUUACAUCCCCACAGAUCUCUCUUUCUUAUAUAAAAGUAUAAGUAACAGCUCUGACCAACCAUCUUCUGCCCUUGCCAUAAGGGUUCGCUCCUCCAUGGGCCCCUCCGCUUGGGGGAGGACUCACCCAUGGAGUGAGGACAUUAGGCCAUAAUAACAGAGGGUGCAGGAAGGACUGCAGGAGGAUGGAUCCACGGAUCCCAAAACCCAAGACCUCUGAGUGACACGCUCUGGUGCAUGGCGGUUGGCAUGCUCCCCCCUCAAAGCCGUCUCCUCCAAAAACAUGCCAAGGCCACCACGAAAUCUCCUAGUGAAGACGCUCGCUCGGAUCAGGAGAUAUUCUAAGGCCUUCUAGAGGAACAGAGCCUCUAUCACCCCCUAAAAACAUGGCAGGUAAGGUAUGGUCAAAUAUUUUAUAUAAGAAAGGGGGAAAUGUCAGGGACUAGAAGGAAAUUCUCCUUCAAAGAUUAGCCUGACAGCCCCCUGGGAGACAUCCUGCCUGUGAGGCAUCCUGCAGCUACCUAUCUCCCUGGAACAUCCUGCGGUUAUCAGGAUCAUCAGACAUCUUGCACCUGGCAGUUUUACCACCCACAUCCAGCAAUUGUUGAUUAGAGAGCUUCCCCAUCCCCAGCAUAUAAAUACCCCUGUGUGAAAAAUAAAAGUUGGCAGCUUGAUCCGAAUUUUUGUCUUGCUAUCACCUUUCGUGUCUCUUGUCCCUUCAUUCCUCCCCAUCUAGGUUCGCUGCCCACGUUGAUGUGUC